GAUCAGGCUGGACUGCAGUGUGAUCCUGGCUCACGGCAACCUUCACCUCCUGGGUUCAAGCAAUUCUUGUGCCUCAGCCUCCCAAGUAGCUGGUGUUAAACAGAUAUGUGCCACCAUGCCUGGCUAAUUUUUGUAUUUGUAGUAGAGACAGGGUUUUGCCAUGUUGGCCAGGCUGAUCUUGAACUCCCAACCUCAAGUGAUCUACCUGCCUUGGCCUCCCGAACUGCUGAGAUUAAAGGAUGGUGAUUGCUCAUGCCAAAGCCUUGGACCCCUCCCGGCCUGUGACCUUUGUGACCAACUCCAACUAUGCAGCGGACAAGGGGGCUCCGUAUGUGGAUGUGAUCUGUGUGAACAGCUGCUACUCUUGAUAUCAUGACUAUAGGCACCUGGAAUUGAUUCAGCUGCAGCUGGCCACCCAGUUUGAGAAGUGGUGUAAGAUGUUUCAGAAACCCAUUAUUCAGAGCAAGUACAGAGCGGAAAUGAUUGCAGGGUUUCAUUAGAUAAGACAGUGGCACUCUGAGAGGCUCAAAAGGAAGCUUCCUCCCCCAAAAGCCAUCCCCAGCAUAACCAUAAAACAAAAAUGGCGCAUCUCAGAAGGACCUUGGUGGUGUCGUUGGAAGGUUGAUCAACAA
rnacentral:lncRNA from 1 species